rnacentral:rRNA from 1 species
GUCGUGACUGCGUGCCUUUUGAAGAAUGAGCCUGCGAGUUUGCGGUAUGUUGCGAGGUUAACCCGUGUGGGGAAGCCGUAGCGAAAGCGAGUCCGAAGAGGGCGUUGAGUAGCGUGCCCAAGACCCGAAGCGGAGUGAUCUAGCCAUGGGCAGGUUGAAGCGGAGGUAAGACUUCGUGGAGGACCGAACCCACCAGGGUUGAAAACCUGGGGGAUGACCUGUGGUUAGGGGUGAAAGGCCAAUCAAACUCCGUGAUAGCUGGUUCUCCCCGAAAUGCAUUUAGGUGCAGCGUCGUGUGUUUCUUGCCGGAGGUAGAGCACUGGAUAGGCGAUGGGCCCUACCGGGUUACUGACCUUAGCCAAACUCCGAAUGCCGGUAAGUGAGAGCGCGGCAGUGAGACUGUGGGGGAUAAGCUCCAUGGUCGAGAGGGAAACAGCCCAGAGCAUCGACUAAGGCCCCUAAGCGUGUGCUAAGUGGGAAAGGAUGUGGAGUCGCAGAGACAACCAGGAGGUUGGCUUAGAAGCAGCCAUCCUUGAAAGAGUGCGUAAUAGCUCACUGGUCAAGUGAUUCCGCGCCGACAAUGUAGCGGGGCUCAAGCACACCGCCGAAGUCGUGUCAUUGCAGUACAUACUCCUAACGGGGACUGUGAUGGGUAGGGGAGCGUCGUGUGCCGGGUGAAGCAGCACCGGAAGGUAGUUGUGGACGGUUCACGAGUGAGAAUGCAGGCAUGAGUAGCGAUACACACGUGGGAAACGUGUGCGCCGAUUGACUAAGGGUUCCUGGGUCAAGCUGAUCUGCCCAGGGUAAGUCGGGACCUAAGGCGAGGCCGACAGGCGUAGUCGAUGGACAACCGGUUGAUAUUCCGGUACCCGCUUUGAAGCGCCAAACAUCGAAUCCAUUAAUGCUAAGGCCGUGAAGCCGCCCUGAGCUCUUCGGAGCGUAGGGGAGUGGUGGAGCCGCUGAUCCAAGGUGGUAGUAGGUGAGUGAUGGGGUGACGCAGGAAGGUAGUCCAGCCCGGGCGGUGGUUGUCCCGGGGUAAGGGUGUAGCCCGUCAUCUAGGCAAAUCCGGAUGACAUGUAAGGGUGAGACCUGAUGCCGAGCCGAUUGUGGUGAAGUGGAUGAUCCUAUGCUGUCGAGAAAAGCCUCUAGCGAGUUUCAUGGCGGCCCGUACCCUAAACCGACUCAGGUGGUCAGGUAGAGAAUACCGAGGCGUUCGGGUGAACUAUGGUUAAGGAACUCGGCAAAAUGCCCCCGUAACUUCGGGAGAAGGGGGGCCACGGCUGGUGAUCACCCUUGCGGUGUGAGCUGGUGGUGGCCGCAGAGACCAGCGAGAAGCGACUGUUUACUAAAAACACAGGUCCGUGCGAAGCCGUAAGGCGAUGUAUACGGACUGACGCCUGCCCGGUGCUGGAACGUUAAGGGGACCGGUUAGCUCCAUUUCGGUGGGGCGAAGCUGAGAACUUAAGCGCCAGUAAACGGCGGUGGUAACUAUAACCAUCCUAAGGUAGCGAAAUUCCUUGUCGGGUAAGUUCCGACCUGCACGAAUGGCGUAACGACUUCUCGACUGUCUCAACCAUAGGCCCGGUGAAAUUGCACUACGAGUAAAGAUGCUCGUUUCGCGCAGCAGGACGGAAAGACCCCGGGACCUUUACUAUAGCUUGAUAUUGGUGUUCGGUUCGGCUUGUGUAGGAUAGGUGGGAGACUGUGAACUCGUCACGCCAGUGGCGGGGGAGUCGUUGUUGAAAUACCACUCUGGUCGUGCUGGAUGUCUAACCUGGGUCCGUGAUCCGGAUCAGGGACAGUGUCUGGUGGGUAGUUUAACUGGGGCGGUUGCCUCCUAAAGAGUAACGGAGGCGCCCAAAGGUUCCCUCAGCCUGGUUGGCAAUCAGGUGUUGAGUGUAAGUGCACAAGGGAGCUUGACUGUGAGACUGACGGGUCGAGCAGGUACGAAAGUAGGGACUAGUGAUCCGGCGGUGGCUUGUGGAAGCGCCGUCGCUCAACGGAUAAAAGGUACCCCGGGGAUAACAGGCUGAUCUUCCCCAAGAGUCCAUAUCGACGGGAUGGUUUGGCACCUCGAUGUCGGCUCGUCGCAUCCUGGGGCUGGAGUCGGUCCCAAGGGUUGGGCUGUUCGCCCAUUAAAGCGGUACGCGAGCUGGGUUUAGAACGUCGUGAGACAGUUCGGUCCCUAUCCGCUGUGCGCGUAGGAUGGGUUGAUAGGCCAGAUAUGGAAGCCUGGUAACGGGUGGAGUUGACUGGUACUAAUAGGCCGAGGGCUUGUCCUCAGUUGCUCGCGUCCACUGUGUGCUCGCGUCCACUGUGUUAGUUCUGAAGUAACGAACUCGCCUUGUCGGCAGGGUUGUUAUCUUCAUAGUGUUUCGGUGGUCAUAGCGUUAGGGAAACGCCCGGUUACAUUUCGAACCCGGAAGCUAAGCCUU